UCGGACAUGGUGUAGGGUACACCGCCUCUGCCCAUGGGCGGGUCCAAGAGAAUUUAGGGGCAGUACGGGGUUCGACUCCCCGUGUCCGAA